AUCCGUAGGUGACAAGCGUUAUCCGGAUUUACUGGGCGUAAAGGGCGUGUAGGCGGUCUUGCAAGUCAGAAGUGAAAUUCCUGAGCUCAACUCGGGCGCUGCUUCUGAAACUGCAGGACUUGAGUGCUGGAGGGGAAAGUGGAAUUCCUGGUGGAGCGGUAAAAUGCGUAGAGAUCAGGAGGAACACCGGUGGCGAAGGCGACUUUCUGGCUGACAACUGACGCUGAGGCGCGAAAGCGUGGGGAGCGAACAGGAUUAGAUACCCUGGUAGUCCACGCUGUAAACGAUGAUUACUAGGUGUAGGGGGUAUCGACUCCCUCUGUGCCGCAGUUAACGCAGUAAGUAAUCCACCUGGGGAGUACGGUCGCAAGAUUAAAACUCAAAGGAAUUGACGGGG
rnacentral:rRNA from 1 species